GUGCUUGCUUUAGCAGCACAUAUACUAAAACUGAAAUGAUACAGAGAAGAGUCACAUGGCCCCUGCUCAAGGAUGACAUGCAAAUUCGUAAAGUCCAUAUUUUU
ensembl:snRNA U6 U6 spliceosomal RNA